GAGUUUGAUUCUUGCUUGGUUUAUUCAUUAUUAUUAUUGCUUUAUAUGUAAGUUUUUGCGUGAUUUAUAUGUUACCUUUUGAUAGGGUUACAUUAUUGACUUAAUUCCCAUUAUUUAUAAUUAACUUUUCAAGAUUUCUUGUAGUUAGCAAUUUAUUUUAGUUUCGGUUAAAUUUUGUGCCAGCAUCCGCGGUUAUACCUUGGAGGCUUAUGAAUAUGUUUGAAUUAUUUUAGUUAUAUUUUACUUGAGUUGAUUUUUGUUGAAUGAGUUUAUUGGGUGAAAUUUUUAUUGUUUGCUGAUUUCUUUUAUGUAUUUGGAUUGUGUCUAUGAAACUCUAAUUUUUAAACUAGGAUUAGAUACCCUAUUAUUUUGAGUGUUAAUUAUUUUUCUAGGUAGUAUUAGUUAAGUUCUUGAAACCUAAAGAAUUUGGCGGUAUUUUAUUCCGAUCAGAGGAAUCUGCUCCGUUAUCGAUAAUCCGCGUUGUACCUUACUUAGUUUACUUUGUUUGUAUACCGCCGUAUAUUGAUUAUCAUUUUAGUGUUUAAAUUUUCUUGAUCCUUAAUUUGGUUAUAUUUCAGGUCAAGGUGCAGCUUAUGGCUAAGUGUGAAGUGGAUUACAUUAAUUUUUUGUUUUUGGAUUGUGUUUUGUUAAUUAUAUGCAUGAAAUUGGAUUUGAUUGUAAUGUGUUGGUGAAGAUUGUUUUCAUGAUAAUUGGUUCUAAGAUAUGUACACAUCGCCCGUCGCUCUCGUUACUCCAUUAAUGAGAUAAGUCGUAACAAAGUGGUCGUACCGGAAGGUGUGGCUGGACUGAUAUA
rnacentral:ncRNA from 1 species